GAUGAACGCUAGCGGCAGGCCUAACACAUGCAAGUCGAGGGAGAAGCCCUUCGGGGCAGAAACCGGCGCACGGGUGCGUAACGCGUAUGCAACCUACCUUUCACAGGGGGAUAGCCCGAAGAAAUUUGGAUUAAUACCCCAUAAUAUUAUUGGAUGGCAUCAUUUGAUAAUUAAAAUUACGAUGGUGAAAGAUGGGCAUGCGUCCUAUUAGCCAGUUGGAGUGGUAACGGCACCCCAAGGCUACGAUAGGUAGGGGUCCUGAGAGGGAGAUCCCCCACACUGGUACUGAGACAGGGACCAGACUCCUACGGGAGGCAGCAGUGAGGAAUAUUGGUCAAUGGUCGGAAGACUGAACCAGCCAUGCCGCGUGCAGGAAGAAUGCCUUAUGGGUUGUAAACUGCUUUUAUAUGGGAAGAAUAAGGAGUACGCGUACUUUGAUGACGGUACCAUAUGAAUAAGC
rnacentral:rRNA from 1 species